rnacentral:rRNA from 2 species
CCACUUUUUUGGUGGGGGUGCUCGAGUGGCGAACGGGUGAGUAACACGUGGGUGAUCUGCCUUGCACUUCGGGAUAAGCUUGGGAAACUGGGUCUAAUACCGGAUAGGACCAUGGUUUAGUGUCUCAUGGUGGAAAGAUUAUUGUUUUGGUGCAGGAUGAGCUCGCGGCCUAUCAGCUUGUUGGUGGGGUAAUGGCCUACCAAGGCGUCGACGGGUAGCCGGCCUGAGAGGGUGGACGGCCACAUUGGGACUGAGAUACGGCCCAGACUCCUACGGGAGGCAGCAGUGGGGAAUAUUGCACAAUGGGCGCAAGCCUGAUGCAGCGACGCCGCGUGGGGGAUGACGGCCUUCGGGUUGUAAACUCCUUUCGUUAGGGACGAAGCNNNNNNNNNNNNNNNNNNNNNUAAGAAGCACCGGCUAACUACGUGCCAGCAGCCGCGGUAAUACGUAGGGUGCGAGCGUUGUCCGGAAUUACUGGGCGUAAAGAGCUCGUAGGUGGUUUGUUGCGUCGUCUGUGAAAUUCCGGGGCUUAACUUCGGGGUGGCAGGCGAUACGGGCAUAACUAGAGUGCUGUAGGGGAGACUGGAAUUCCUGGUGUAGCGGUGAAAUGCGCAGAUAUCAGGAGGAACACCNAUGGCGAAGGCAGGUCUCUGGGCAGUAACUGACGCUGAGGAGCGAAAGCAUGGGGAGCGAACAGGAUUAGAUACCCUGGUAGUCCAUGCUGUAAACGGUGGGCGUUAGGUGUGGGGACCGGUUUGGUUUCUGUGCCGUAGCUAACGCAUUAAGCGCCCCGCCUGGGGAGUACGGCCGCAAGGCUAAAACUCAAAGGAAUUGACGGGGGCCCGCACAAGCGGCGGAGCAUGUGGAUUAAUUCGAUGCAACGCGAAGAACCUUACCUGGGUUUGACAUGCACCAGACGGUUGUAGAGAUACGUACCUCCCUUUGUGGUUGGUGUGCAGGUGGUGCAUGGUUGUCGUCAGCUCGUGUCGUGAGAUGUUGGGUUAAGUCCCGCAACGAGCGCAACCCUUGUCUUAUGUUGCCAGCACUUUGGGUGGGGACUCAUGAGAGACUGCCGGGGUUAACUCGGAGGAAGGUGGGGAUGACGUCAAAUCAUCAUGCCCUUUAUGCCCAGGGCUUCACACAUGCUACAUGGUUAGUACAACGCGCUGGAACCUGUGAGGGUGAGCGAAUCGCUGAAAGCUAAUCUCAGUUCGGAUUGGGGUCUGCAACUCGACCCCAUGAAGUCGGAGUCGCUAGUAAUCGCAGAUCAGCAAUGCUGCGGUGAAUACGUUCCCGGGCCUUGUACACACCGCCCGUCACGUCAUGAAAGUUGGUAACACCCGAAGCCCAUGGCCUAACCACCAUUU